rnacentral:ncRNA from 2 species
AAAAUCAUCUGUGCAACUGGCCCGGCCACUUUCGUGAGCGAUGGUGGGCGGCGCAAGAGGGAAUCCAGUGAGACUCUGGAACUGUCCCGCAACGGUAAAGUCCGACACCUGCCGGUUGUGCUACAUCAAU